UCCAUAGAGCCUGGCUCUGCUGUGCAGGUGGAGGGAUGGCCAGGUCGCAGAGGAUCGGGAAAAGCCUGUACCAAGAAGCCCCUGGGGAGAUGUGGCUACACCGUGCUCCCUCCUGGUCAUUGCAGGAAUACAGAAAGCCUAGAGGAAGAAAUGACACUUGCAGGCACCAGAAUGUCUAGGGCCAGCCUGGAGAACCGGGGCGUGACAAGCCUACUGCCCGCUGACAGCUGCCUCACCUUCCACUCCUUUCCAAAGAAGAUUCGCUGGGGCGUUUCCAAGCCCCUCCCUUGCCUGCCCGCCUGGCCGAGCCUGCAGGAUACGGCUUGUCCAAACUGCACACAAUUCGAGUCUGAGGACGAGUUCGCCACCCUAGUGGGCCUGGUUCGACGAACUCUAUUCUAUCGUGCUGCUGAUUAAAGCUUUGCAACGGUCAAAGGCAUUGCCCGCUGUCCCUCGGGCAAGAUCCCCAGAAGUCUCCCAGGGAGAGCAGGUUUAGCGCAAGCUAUCCGCCUGGACCGCCGAGGUCACCCCCUGAGCAGAGUCACUGUGGCAGAACAGCCGUCCCUCCCCGAGGCUGUCCCGUGGGACUAUUCGGUCGGGAUCACGACGGUGCAGCCAGCGCCCUGCGCACGGUUAUUCCUUCCCCGGGGAGUGUCCUUCCUGGGCUCUGACCGCAGUGAAGCUCUGCCCUCCUUGCUCCCCACCUCCCGAGGCACAAAUACCGUGUGUCCCUCGAGCAGGCAAAUUCAGAGAGACCAAGAGCAGGUCGGGGAUUGCCAGGGGCUGGGGACAGGGGGGUGGGAAGUUAGUUUCAGGGAGGCAGAGCUCCAGUCCGGAAUGAUGAGCGAGUUCUGGAGACAGCGGCACAACAGUGGUAAUGCACUUCAUGCGACUGUCCCGUGCACUUCAAAGUGAUUAAAAUGGCCGGGGCGCCUGGGUGGCUCAGUCGGUUAAGCAUCCGACUCGGUUUCGGCUCAGGUCGUGAUCUCACAGUUUGUGAGUUUGAGCCCCAUAUAGGGCUCCCUGCUU